AGUAACACAUGACAUCUUUCUCCCUCGAAUUAAAAUGUGACUCGGUUCACCGGUUGAAACGCAGAGGGAGAUGGCAAUGACCGGGAGUCGAAAGGAGAAGGUUAGAGUGCAGUGGUGCAGUCAUGGCUCACUGCAGCCUCUGCCUCCAGGACUCAAAGAGUCCUCCUACCUCAACCUCCCAAGUAGCUAGGACCAUAGAGUUGUGCUCUCCUGCAGCCUUUUGAGGGUGGCUGGCUUCCAUACCCAGAAUCAAUCACACCACGACACUGAAAAAACAAAAAUAAACAGGAAAAAAGAGCGAGAGAGUAAUUCUAGCCUAUUUUUACAAGAACACAGUGGCUAUGGACAGUGCUGGUGUGAAAAUGAUUCAGCAAAAGUGGAAAACUAAAAAUUCUAGGGCAGUAUGAAAACUGGGAAAGCAAUUACAGCGGAAGUUGCCUUCCCCAUGGUAACUUAGCAACUUCGUGUCUCUCCAAGGCAGAGAGGAAAAUCAAGUUUAACAGGCCUUCCUGAAGGCUAGGUGUGAAAUACCAGAAGCCAUCUUUGUUUCUGGCAUCACUAAAUAUUUGCUGAUA